rnacentral:rRNA from 1 species
CGUUANGGAAUUCUGGGCGUAAGCGCACGCAGGCGGUCUGUCAAGUCGGAUGUGAAAUCCCCGGGCUCAACCUGGGAACUGCAUUCGAAACUGGCAGGCUAGAGUCUUGUAGAGGGGGGUAGAAUUCCAGGUGUAGCGGUGAAAUGCGUAGAGAUCUGGAGGAAUACCGGUGGCGAAGGCGGCCCCCUGGACAAAGACUGACGCUCAGGUGCGAAAGCGUGGGGAGCAAACAGGAUUAGAUACCCUGGGUAGUCCAA